rnacentral:lncRNA from 1 species
CUCCCACCUGCUAAGGGCAAGAAGAACAACGAGGAGCGAGAGGACCGCCGUACCCUUGGCCUUGUUCUUCUCCGGGGUGAAGAGGUCAUUUCCAUGACUGUUGAAGGUCCUCCUCCUCCUGAAGAGUCACGCGCCAAGGCUGUCUCUGCUACUGCUAUUGCUGGUCCUGGAAUUGGUCGUGCAGCUGGUCGUGGAAUACCUACUGCUCCUCUUGUUCAGGCUCAGCCUGGUCUUGCUGGUCCGGUUCGUGGUGUUGGUGGACCUGCACCUGGUAUGAUGCAGCCGCAGCUCUCUCGUCCUCCGCAUCCACAACUUUCUGCUCCGCCUAUGACUUAUCCAGCACAGGGUCCGCCUGGUAGCGCCCCGCCUGUUAUAAGGCCUCCUGGUCAGAUGCCUCCUCCGCCUUAUCCUGGGCAGG